rnacentral:pre_miRNA from 1 species
AUACUACUCCCUCCGUCCGGAAAUACUUGUCCUAGAAAUGAAUAAAAUAGAUGUACAUGCAUUUCUAGGACAAGUAUUUCCGGACGGAGGGAGUAUUUC